rnacentral:lncRNA from 1 species
GUUUGAUUCUGAAAAGGACGACUCAACUUCUUUACAGCAACGUUUAUCCCAAGGACUGUAUCGAAUGCAGCACAAACAAUGCCCUGUGCCCCUGAUCCUAUGGGCUUCAAUUGCUGGUAGCGUUUUAGUACAGUGAAUGUUGAAUCUGCAACUUGAACACUGUAAAACUGACUAUCGCAUUUACUGUCACUCAUGGUGUAGUGUCAUGUAGUUUUCUCUCUCAAGGACCUGGUACAGGCUUCAAGAUCGUCUCCUCACUCGGUCAGGCUCCAGCGGGACGGGGCGCGGCGCUCGCGAGCCGCGCAGCCACCUCCGCGGCCGCCUCCACCUCCUCCGGCGCGCAGGACCGCCCCAGCCACAAUGGCCUCCCGGUGCUCCGCGCAGGCCGCGCCAGGCCUGAGCGCGUUGACGGGCGGCCGCUCGGACCAAUCGCGA